rnacentral:rRNA from 1 species
GACAGAGGGUGCAAACGUUGUUCGGAAUUACUGGGCGUAAAGCGCGCGUAGGCGGACCUGCAAGUCGGGGGUGAAAGCCCGAGGCUCAACCUCGGAACUGCCUUCGAUACUGCGGGUCUCGAGUCCGGGAGAGGUGAGUGGAAUUCCUAGUGUAGAGGUGAAGUUCGUAGAUAUUAGGAAGAACACCAGUGGCGAAGGCGGCUCACUGGCCCGGUACUGACGCUGAGGCGCGAAAGCGUGGGGAGCAAACAGG